UGAGGGAUAUUGGGCAAUGGGGGAAACCCUGACCCAGCGACGCCGCGUGAGGGAAGACGGUCUUCGGAUUGUAAACCUCUGUCUUUGGGGACGAAGAAGGACGGUACCCAAGGAGGAAGCUCCGGCUAACUACGUGCCAGCAGCCGCGGUAAUACGUAGGGAGCGAGCGUUGUCCGGAAUUACUGGGUGUAAAGGGAGCGUAGGCGGGAUUGCAAGUUGGAUGUGAAAACUGCGGGCUCAACCCGGAGAGUGCAUUCAAAACUGCGAUUCUUGAGUGAAGUAGAGGCAAGCGGAAUUCCUAGUGUAGCGGUGAAAUGCGUAGAUAUUAGGAGGAACACCAGUGGCGAAGGCGGCUUGCUGGGCUUUAACUGACGCUGAGGCACGAAAGCAUGGGUAGCAAACAGGAUUAGAUACCC
rnacentral:rRNA from 1 species